rnacentral:rRNA from 1 species
CACGUAGGGCGCAAGCGUUGUCCGGAAUUAUUGGGCGUAAAGAGCUCGUAGGCGGUCCGUCACGUCCGCUGUGAAAACCCAGGGCUCAACCCUGGGCUUGCAGUGGAUACGGGCAGACUAGAGGUAGGUAGGGGAGAAUGGAAUUCCCGGUGUAGCGGUGAAAUGCGCAGAUAUCGGGAGGAACACCGGUGGCGAAGGCGGUUCUCUGGGCCUUACCUGACGCUGAGGAGCGAAAGCGUGGGGAGCAAACAGG